rnacentral:rRNA from 1 species
UUAAGUCAAAUGUGAAAUCCCGAGCUUACUCGGGAAUGGCAUUCGAUACUUGUCGGCUAGAGUGUGGGAGAGGACGGUAGAAUUCCAGGUGUAGCGGUGAAAUGUGUAGAGAUCUGGAGGAAUACCGAUGGCGAAGGCAGCUAUCUGGCCUUACACUGACACUGAGGUGCGAAAGCAUGGGGAGCAAACAGGAUUAGAUACCCUGGUAGUCCAUGCCGUAAACGAUGUCUACUAGCCGUUGGGGCCUUUGAGGCUUUAGUGGCGCAGCUAACGCGAUAAGUAGACCGCCUGGGGAGUACGGUCGCAAGACUAAAACUCAAAUGAAUUGACGGGGGCCCGCACAAGCGGUGGAGCAUGUGGUUUAAUUCGAUGCAACGCGAAGAACCUUACCUGGCCUUGACAUAGUAGAAACUUUCCAGAGAUGGAUUGGUGCCUUCGGGAAUCUACAUACAGGUGCUGCAUGGCUGUCGUCAGCUCGUGUCGUGAGAUGUUGGGUUAAGUCCCGCAACGAGCGCAACCCUUUUCCUUACUUGCCAUCAUUUCGGAUGGGAACUUUAAGGAUACUGCCAGUGACAAACUGGAGGAAGGCGGGGAUGAGGUCAAGUCAUCAUGGCCUUUCCGGCCAGGGCUACACACGUGUUACAAGGGUCGGUACAAAGGGUUGCUACCUAGCGAUAGGAUGCUAAUCUCAAAAAGCCGAUAGUAGUCCGGAUUGGAGUUGCAACUGACUCCAUGAAGU